UAGACGUUAUUAAAUUCAUGUCAAUUGAUCAUAAUGGCUACAUCUUCAGAAUUCAGUAGGGCACAUAAAGUAUGCGUUAUCAUCAUUGUUUUCUUGGAGUAUUUAUUAUUUAGUGGUAUUAUUUAUGGAUGGGCCGACUUAGUUUAUGUUCUAAAAUUACAAGGAGUAUUUUCUAAUAAUUGUAACAAUAAUGUGACAAUAUCUGGAAAUGAAACGAUUGCAAACAAAACUAAAUCAUGUAAAAGUCAAGAUGACCUCUUCGAUUUAGCUUUCACUAUCUCUUCUUUCAAUAAAGCUUUAGCUGCAUUUUUAAGUGGCUUUCUAUUAGAUUGGGUCGGAUUAAGGAUAACUAGAAUAAUUUCUUCAUGUUUUAUUUUAAUUGGUGGAACAUUUCUUGCACUUUGCGAUAAAAAUAAUCCAUAUUAUUUAUUUCCUGGCUCACUUCUUGUGGGUUUAGGAGGUUCCGAAAUUCGAUAUGGGAAUUUUCAAAUUUCUAAUUUGUUUCCAAAAUACAAAAUGACUAUAAUGUCCUUUUAUAAUGGAGCUUUUUGUGGAUCACCUGCUGUGUUGUUGCUUUUAAAAUAUUGCUACGAUCAAGGAAUUUCAUACUCUGCUUUCUUUUAUGUCUGGACCGGAAUAUCAUCUUCUAUAUUGCUCACGAGCUUCUUUUUGCUACCAAAAAUGAAUAUUAUUGCUGUUGAAGACAAAGAAGAAAUAGUUAGAUCUAUAAAUGAUGAUGAAGAGAGACAACCUUUACUGUCUCGUAAAAGUGGUGAAAGUUACAAAGCCUCUACAAAUAAUAUAUUUCGUUCUAUAUUUUCUAUAUCAUUCAUAUUUCAUGUAGUGAGUAAUUGCCUAUUAGCCUUAAGUAUAAUUAUAUAUUUAGGAUCAUUUAAUUGGUGGAUAACAAAACUUACGAGUAAUCAAGAGGAAGUUAGUAGGUUGUCAGAAAUUUUCGGUUUUUCUCAACUUCCUAUGAUUAUCGUGUCUCCAUUUAUAGGAAUAUUAUUGGAUUCGGCUGUAAAGAAAGCCCAAGAGGAAGAAGAUCCUAUACUCAGAAAAAAGAAGUCACAAAGGGCAGGAUUUUAUUCCUUAAUAAUAUGUUCUACCGUUGCUACAUCAAUGAUUGCAUGCAGAACCAUUUCAAAUGUUACAGCUGUCUAUUUUUCACUCGUUUUUUAUGUACUUUCUCGCCCUAUACUCAAUUCAGUCUCUCCCGGUUAUAUUAGAAUAAGAUUUCCUCAAGAACAUUUCAAUAAAUUAAUUGGUAUUUUUGGUACGGUAACAUGCAUUUCUUCAGUUGUACAGUAUCCUUUGUUCCUUUGGAUGCAAGAAGAUUUUAUGAUUAAUAAUUUAUUUCUUAUUGGAUUGCUUGCUUUAACGUUUAUCAAUCCUUUACAUUUACUCUGCUUGAAACCAACAGAUGUUUAACUCAAGAUAUGCCGGAUUACCAGUAGGUUCAGACAUCAUCUUACCGAUCUGGGGAAUCCGGAAUCGUAUCCAAGCAAGCAACUCCCCAGCAAUAACAAUUCGAAGGAUAUACAAAGGAAAGAAAAAGAAAAAAAGAAAGGAAGAUGUCGCAUUCACAACUCGAAAUUUCUGUCAAGUUAUUCACCUUAUCUGGUAGGAUAACCUCUAUCACUUGAAACAAGCCUAUCCAGUUUACUUAAUUAGUACGUAAUUAUUAAGACAACCUAAUAAAUAAUGUACAGUGUGCAGAAAUAACAUUAACAGUAUUUUAAAGAAUAUUGAAUACAAUUCGUCAAAACUUUUAACUCCUACAAAUUAUACACUCCUCCCAUUCUGUUGUCUAAUUGUUAACAAAAGACAGAGAAGUCUGAUACUUUCUGUGGCUGUCAAAUUGAGCUUACGUGAUUGUAGUAUUAAAUAAAACAACAGUUGGGACAAUGAACUAGAAAGGUCAUUGCUAAAUUUCUUUUAUAAUAUAAAUACAUAUUUGCCAUACAUAAUUUUCGUUUGAUAUGCAUGGUUAUAAGCAUAUCGAAUAAUAUGGUGUAAAUGGAAUGGCUAAUAAUGCAGUUCAACAAUGAGGACUAAUUUUCUCUAUAAGAUGUAUGAAAAUUGAUCCAGUAGCAUUUUAAUUUUCAUGAAUAUAAUUAGUAUGCAAGCAUAUUCCA